GAUGCGAUUAUGCUCCCUACGGCAUUGAUUUUGACGGUGGGGUUGCUACGGGAAGAUUCUCCAAUGGCAAAGUCCCUGGUGAUAUUGUUGCGGAAGAGUUAGGGAUUAAACCCAAUAUACCAGCAUAUCGAGAUCCGAAUUUGAAACCAGAAGAUCUUUUGACCGGUGUAACAUUUGCUUCUGGUGGUGCUGGUUAUGUUCCUUUGACAACCAAAUUAGCGGGAGGUAUACCGUUACCGCUACAAUUGAAAUAUUUUGAAGAAUAUAGAGCGAGACUGAAGGCAAUGGUUGGAGAAGAGAGGACACAGUU